GACGAACGCUGGCGGCGUGCUUAACACAUGCAAGUCGAACGGAAAGGCCCUGCUUUUGUGGGGUGCUCGAGUGGCGAAAGGGUGAGUAACACGUGAGUAACCUGCCCUUGACUUUGGGAUAACUUCAGGAAACUGGGGCUAAUACCGGAUAGGAGCUCCUGCUGCAUGGUGGGGGUUGGAAAGUUUCGGCGGUUGGGGAUGGACUCGCGGCUUAUCAGCUUGUUGGUGGGGUAGUGGCUUACCAAGGCUUUGACGGGUAGCCGGCCUGAGAGGGUGACCGGCCACAUUGGGACUGAGAUACGGCCCAGACUCCUACGGGAGGCAGCAGUGGGGAAUAUGGCACAAUGGGCGGAAGCCUGAUGCAGCAACGCCGCGUGCGGGAUGACGGCCUUCGGGUUGUAAACCGCUUUCGCCUGUGACGAAGCGUGAGUGACGGUAAUGGGUAAAGAAGCACCGGCUAACUACGUG
rnacentral:rRNA from 1 species